rnacentral:rRNA from 1 species
AGAGUUAAAAAGUACGUGAAAUUGUUAAAAGGGAAACGCUUGAAAUCAGUGUUGAUUUCUGGAAAUCAAUCAGUCAGUAAUGGCUGGUGCACUUUCCAGUAAUCAGGUCAACAUCAGUUUCGGCUGGAGUAAAAUAGCGUAGGAAGGUGGCUCUCUCGGGAGCGUUAUAGCCUACGUGACUGCUCUGGCUGGGAUUGAGGACUGCAGCGUAUGCUUUUUUGCUGGUGGACCAGGUUCUAUUAGUUGUAGGUUGAAUGAAAGCUUGCUGACUAAGACAUGCAACUGAUACUUACUUGGGUAGCACAAAUACGCUUAGGAUGUUGACGAAAUGGUUUUAAUCGACC